CUGUGUGGUGUCAUCAUGCCAAGAUCUAAAGAGUUCUAUAAGGCCUUAAGAAAAACGGUUGUAGAUGCCUAUGAGUCUGACAAGGGAUAUAAAAAGAUCUCCAAAUUAUUUAAAAUACAUAUAUAAAUAAAUAUCUAUCCCAAAGGAUGGGAGGAACAUGCAAACUCCGUGCACACAGGACAGAGGCAGGAAUCAAACCCCCAAACCUGGAGUUUACGGGACUAUUCCGGCGUGUCUUCAAUCACACUCCCAAUGGCAAGGAAACGGGUGAGGAGCUCCUGACUAUUUCUCAUGGCUCACGAUUGGAGGCGGAUGCAAGUGCACAUAAGUUUUAAUAAAGACCAAAACAAAACACAAAAACACACUAUGACCUUGUGACAAAACAUUAAGGCAAAGAAUACACAUAAACCAAAGACCUAAACACAGCAACAAAGACAAAGUCACUCAAACCAAUGUUAAAAAGUCACUCAAACCAGUGUUAAAAAUUUGAACAAUGAUGACAUUCAUGCUCAUGCCAAAUUUCAUGACUAUCAAACCAACUGUCCCCUUACCAUUAAAACCUUUGAACCUGA